UUGACCUCAAAUCGGGUGAGACUACCCGCUGAACUUAAGCAUAUCAAUAAGCGGAGGAAAAGAAACUAACAAGGAUUCCCCUAGUAACUGCGAGUGAAGCGGGAAAAGCUCAAAUUUAAAAUCUGGCGGUCUUUGGCCGUCCGAGUUGUAAUUUAGAGAAGCGUCUUCCGCGCCGGACCGUGCACAAGUCUCCUGGAAUGGAGCGUCAUAGAGGGUGAGAAUCCCGUCUUUGGCACGGAUGCCUGGUGCUCUGUGAUGCGCUCUCGAAGAGUCGAGUUGUUUGGGAAUGCAGCUCAAAAUGGGUGGUGAACUCCAUCUAAAGCUAAAUAUUGGCGAGAGACC
rnacentral:rRNA from 1 species